rnacentral:snRNA from 1 species
GGAUGUGAGGGCAAUCUGGCUGUGACAUCUGUCACCCCAUUGAUCGCCAGGGUUGAUUCGGCUGAUCUGGCUGGCUAGGCGAGUGUCCCCUUCCUCCCUCACUGCUCCAUGUGCCUCCCUCCCUAAGCUGCGCACUCGGUGGAAGAGGACGACCUUCCCUGAAUAGAGGAGGACCUGUCUUCGGUCAAGGGUAUACGAGUAGCUGCACUCUCCUGCUAGAACCUCCAAACAAGUUCACAAGAACUCAAAAAUCAGUGCAAAUAGUAGAAAAUAUUCAUUGAGUAUUAGCUAGCACAUUGCAUUGUUGCCUCAUU